UUGGAGGGCAAGUCUGGUGCCAGCAGCCGCGGUAAUUCCAGCUCCAAUAGCGUAUAUUAAAGUUGUUGCAGUUAAAAAGCUCGUAGUUGAAUUUCGGGGUCAGCAGGUUGGUCGUGCCACUGGUAUGCACUGGUCUCGCUGAUUCCUCCCUCUUGUAGAACCGUAAUGCCAUUAAGUUGGUGUUGCGGGGAAACAGGACUGUUACUUUGAAAAAAUUAGAGUGUUUAAAGCAGGCUAACGCUUGAAUACAUUAGCAUGGAAUAAUGAAAUAGGACGAUCGAUCCUAUUUUGUUGGUUUCUAGGGUUGACGUAAUGAUUAAUAGGGAUAGUUGGGGGCAUUAGUAUUCAAUUGUCAGAGGUGAAAUUCUUGGAUUUAUUGAAGACUAACUACUGCGAAAGCAUUUGCCAAGGAUGUUUUCAUUAAUCAAGAACGAAAGUUAGGGGAUCGAAGACGAUCAGAUACCGUCGUAGUCUUAACCAUAAACCAUGCCGACUAGGGAUCGGAUGAUGUUAAUUUUUUAAUGACUCAUUCGGCGCCUUACGGGAAAC
rnacentral:rRNA from 1 species